rnacentral:rRNA from 1 species
GACGAACGCUGGCGGCGUGCUUAACACAUGCAAGUCGAACGGAAAGGCCCUGCUUUUGUGGGGUGCUCGAGUGGCGAACGGGUGAGUAACACGUGAGUAACCUGCCCUUGACUUUGGGAUAACUUCAGGAAACUGGGGCUAAUACCGGAUAGGAGCUCCUGCUGCAUGGUGGGGGUUGGAAAGUUUCGGCGGUUGGGGAUGGACUCGCGGCUUAUCAGCUUGUUGGUGGGGUAGUGGCUUACCAAGGCUUUGACGGGUAGCCGGCCUGAGAGGGUGACCGGCCACAUUGGGACUGAGAUACGGCGCAGACUCCUACGGGAGGCAGCAGUGGGGAAUAUUGCACAAUGGGCGGAAGCCUGAUGCAGCAACGCCGCGUGCGGGAUGACGGCCUGCGGGGUGUAAACCGCUUUCGCCUGUGACGAAGCGUGAGUGACGGUAAUGGGUAAAGAAGCACCGGCUAACUACGUG